GUCUGUCGCCCGCUAAAGAAUUUUGUAGAGAUCUGCUGGAUGACACUUGGCUGACAUAGCUGAUCUGAUCCCAGGUACUGGUCAUUGGGAUAUCCCUCCUCCUGUCAUCCAUCCCAACAUGAACACUUAUCUGCGAUGGGAUCAGAACUUACCAUUUCAGCUGAAGAGAGGACAAAACCACAGACACAGAGGAGGCUGCCAUAGCUGCGGACCCCAUCCAUGGCUGUAACACCAAUCCCACUGGCAGGAAAACACCUAUUGAUGAGAAAGUAGCUCAGAUUAAUGAUGGCUUUGGUCCCUCAAGUUACAAUAUCAAUCGGUUCCAGGACGACCAUUGUAUGUUGAGACCAUUGUAUGUGGAGACCAGAACUCUAUGGAAACCUGGUAAUUGGUUCUGAAGCCACCAAAAUGUCAUCCAAAAAUAGGAAAAAAGUGAG